rnacentral:rRNA from 1 species
GACGAACGCUGGCGGCGUGCCUAAUACAUGCAAGUUGAGCGCUGAAGGUUGGUACUUGUACCAACUGGAUGAGCAGCAAACGGGUGAGUAACGCGUGGGGAAUCUGCCUUUGAGCGGGGGACAACAUUUGGAAACGAAUGCUAAUACCGCAUAAAAACUUUAAACACAAGUUUUAAGUUUGAAAGAUGCAAUUGCAUCACUCAAAGAUGAUCCCGCGUUGUAUUAGCUAGUUGGUGAGGUAAAGGCUCACCAAGGCGAUGAUACAUAGCCGACCUGAGAGGGUGAUCGGCCGCAUUGGGACGGAGACACGGCCCAAACUCCUACGGGAGGCAGCAGUAGGGAAUCUUCGGCAAUGGACGAAAGUCUGACCGAGCAACGCCGCGUGAGUGAAGAAGGGUUUCGGAUCGUAAAACUCUGUUGGUAGAGAAGAACGUUGGUGAGAGUGGAAAGCUCAUCAAGUGACGGUAACUACCCAGAAAGGGACGGCUAACUACGUG